rnacentral:lncRNA from 10 species
UUCCUCUACUUGUCCAUUUACUUUAAGAGACACUUACUGAUGCAAAGGAGACUGAACAGUGAAGGAUCUCACUCAGAAUCCUGUCCACAAUCUGUCCAGUUUACACCUUACCCCAAAGAGAGGUAGCCUGUUAUACAACGUUCUUCACCUCAUUCUCUCACUUCACAAUAUAUCUUGGAGAUCUUACCAAAAGCACACAGAGACCUCCUGCGUUGUGAUUAGAUUUUCAUUGCAUAAUAUUCCAUUGUUCGUGUGUGUGUGAGUGUUUAGUUAGUCUCAAAUUGAUAGGUGCAUGAAUUUUUCCAAUCUUUUGUUAAGGCAAGCAGUAUUGAAUAAACUUGUACAUAAUA